AACGCACAUUGCGCCCGCCAGUAUUCUGGCGGGCAUGCCUGUCCGAGCGUCAUUUCACCCCCUCCAGCGGUUCCGACCGCCGGGUGCUGGGGGCAGCGCCCGAUAGCCCGCCCUAGUCGGCGGCUGGCGCUCCCCUGAAAGGAAAUGGCGGCAGUCCCGUGGGAUCCCCCUGCGCAGUAGUAAAAUCUCGCAUCGGGCCCUGUGGCUCGCCUCGCCCGUCAACCAUACAACCCAUCAAGGUUGACCUCGGAUCAGGUAGGAAUACCCGCUGAACUUAA
rnacentral:misc_RNA from 1 species